UACGGAGGGGGCGAGCGUUGUUCGGAUUUACUGGGCGUAAAGGGCGCGUAGGCGGCCUUGUCAGUCAGGCGUGAAAGCCCCGGGCUCAACCUGGGAACGGCGCUUGGGACGGCGAGGCUGGAGUUCGGGAGAGGAGAGUGGAAUUCCCAGUGUAGAGGUGAAAUUCGUAGAUAUUGGGAAGAACACCGGUGGCGAAGGCGGCUCUCUGGACCGACACUGACGCUGAGGCGCGAAAGCGUGGGGAGCAAACAGG
rnacentral:rRNA from 1 species